rnacentral:rRNA from 1 species
UACGGAGGGUGCAAGCGUUAUCCGGAUUUACUGGGUUUAAAGGGUGCGUAGGCGGACUAUUAAGUCAAAUGUGAAAGCUUUCAGCUCAACUGUAAGAUUGCGUUUGAUACUGGUAGUCUUGAAUAGAGUGGAAGUGGGCGGAAUAUAUCAUGUAGCGGUGAAAUGCUUAGAUAUGAUAUAGAACACCGAUUGCGAAGGCAGCUCACUAUAUUCUGAUUGACGCUGAGGCACGAAAGCGUGGGGAUCAAACAGG